GGCCCAUGGGAGUAAUAAUUAUAGAGUAUUAUUGUAAAUUAUAAAAAUUUGUAUUGAAAACAAUUUUUUUCAAAUCCUAAGGACUGUUAUUUUUAAUUUAUUUUAUUUUUUUGGUUGAUAUACGCAAUGACAAAGUCAUUGAAAAUUCACACACACAAAGUGGACUGACCGAGGUUCGAAUUCCGGUUCUAACAUUCGACACUAACAAUAUCGGUAUUUCUGACAGUUGAACUAAGAUUUAUGGACUAAGAACUGAUAUUUUUAGAAU
rnacentral:lncRNA from 1 species